AUGUAUAUUGAUUCUAUUAAUCCUUUCAUUCUUCAAUGUUUUCUAAAUUACAUAUUUAGAGGUCCUGACAUGCAGUCUUUUUGGUGUUACAUGUCUCAGUCGACUGGGUGUAUAGCACAUGUGUUUGGAGCUUGGGAGUUUGGGGCCAGAAAACAAUGUCAAGUCAGGGACCUGGAGCACAAAUGGAUUUGUUGCACUUCCCAGGUACUUCACAUUUGUGCUGCUCAUGUCCAAGGAAGAUUGUCCCUUGUAUUCCUCCCAGAUUUCCACGUCAUUACCUCUCUGAGAGAAUGAAACAUUAAAUAAGAAAUAUUAUUCAGCUGCAGGGCUGUUCAGAGUGACCCUUCCAAAAUGAUACUAUGACUAGUUCAAGCUGAUGAAGUUUGUGAGAAACACAUUAUAUACACCAUGAUAAUUUUGAAGGAGGAACUUUUGUAUAAAUAUACAUAAGGUGGUGGUUUUCAAACUUUAGGAUGCAUCAGAACCUCCAAGGAGCUUAUUAAAAAUGCAGAUUUGGGGGUCUCAUUUCUGGAAUUUUGGGUUCAUUUGGUCUAGGGUAAAGUCCAAGAAUCUGUAUUUCUAAUAAUGCUGCUAAUGUGGGGACCAUGCUUGAGAAUGUUGAUCUAGGGUAAUAAUUUAAAAAAUUAAUAUGGUUAUCACUUGCAUUUUGGAUUACAUGACUUUCAAGGUAGGAAGGGGAUUAAAUUGGGUUGUAACUGCAGGAAUGCAAAGUAAAAGAAAGAAUUAAUCUUCAACUAUUACCAAAACAGUUUUCAAGCAUGCAAGAUAGCAGACUCGAAAGAGAGACCUGGUUGAUAAAAGGAUUUUGUAAACUCCUUUAAUCUCCUCCUUCAAUAUAAGAGACAAACCAAUGGACCUGAUGUAUGAGUUGUUUUAUUUUGCUUUUUUGAUCAUAGUGUUUUAAAUAUGGAAGGUCUUGGUAAAGAGGAAAGAAAAAAAGGGAAAAACUGGUCUUUUUCACUCUCCUGGACUAGGGGUUGAAAAGAUAACUAUGAUAUAUGUGUCUCUAGGCUGAAGUGUCAUGGAGAGAGGUCAUGGAUGUAGGGACUCAUGCCCUAGUUCCCAUUGCAGUCUGUAAGGAGAUAACCUCAGCAUCCUGGGUGCAGCUAUGUCAAAGUUACUGUGAUGGCUCAAUGUAGUUGGAUGGAGACAGGAUCUGAGUUUGGGUGCCUCGAGUCUCCCUUAGAUCCCAUGUAGUGUGGAGACAAUCCAGAAGUUUAGUUGUGCCCUAUGGAGGGAUAGGGAAGGUAGCUGCAGGUGCUGAUGGUGGGCUUAUCCAAAGAGUCUUUUCUUGUGAUGGGGACAAAGUCCACAACCAAUGGCUCAAGUGUGGACACCUGGAUGAGAAGCAAACUGGGAAAGACCAUAGGAAAGACUAUAGCCCUAGUGAGAGCUGGGGUGGGGCCCAGUUCAGCAAGGGGUGCCCAGUGUCCAGUGAGAAUAUUGCUCUAGCCAAGAGAACAGCUGUAGCCCUCAGCAGCAGCAGCAGAUGCCCAGGUAUGAUAUUGGUCCUUUCUAACCAGUCAGCAAUCCAUGGAGCAGCCAGACCAGGCACUGUGCUGUAGAGAUUAACACUGGCUCAAAGAAUAACUUGUGCAUAAGAGAAUUUUAUUUCCUUUCCAAUGCUCUCAGUCCACCUUUCUCUCUCACACACCUAUAUGCUUUCUGAAAUAGGAAUGGGAGUUCUCAGAACUUUGAAACACUGUGAUUUACUUGAGUCCUUUAAGCAGAGACUGAGUUAAAUUAUUGGUUUUAACUGAGGUUAUCAGAUAGGACUAGUGUUUUCUCUACCCUGCCUCCCCCAUCUGCUACUACACAGUUACAGAGAAAAGAUGCUUUCUUUGUAUAGCUGAGGGUGUAAUUUUAGCCUGUGUAAAAUCCAAGAGUAUUAGGCAUUGUUGCAUAUGGAGAUUCAAAGAACAUCUGCAGAAUUUUCUUUCUCUUAGGUCUGUUUUAUCCUAUGUUGACUGUAUUUUUAGGCAGGAUUUAACAAGUGGUGGUAAAGAAGGUCGCCAGCAGUGCAUUCUUAGUGAUAUCCUAGAAUUCUGGUCAACCCUCCCAAAAGGACUGUGGCCCUGCAGGGUCAUAUGCUGUCUUUUAUGGUAGGAGGGGUGGGACUAGGUAAUCAACAUCCUCACCUGGUGAGAGAGGAGCCUGUUCUGGAAGGAAAAAAAUGCUGGACUAACACAUGUAAGAAAUGUUGUCUAGAACUUAAUUGUGGCAGUAGGCCCUGUUGUGAUCAUGAUUCCGCCUGAUUCCUAGGAGGAAAUAGGCUAAUGACAAAUUAUGAAAGUGCCCCAGUGUCAUUUGCAUAUAUGCUCUUGAAAUUUGAAAUACGUGAGAAGCUUAUUAAAAGAGUUUGAGGAACCAGGAUCUUCCCCACCUAUGUGACAUUACAUAAUUUUGAGUGCAAAGGAAGAAUCACCUGUGUUAGGAAAAUGGUUGGGAUAGGAUGCCAUUAGCUCAGUUUGAGAGUCUGUUAGGUCCUCUGCCCCUUUCUUCACUUGGUUAACUAAUUUAUCUUUUAUGACUUACCUAAGGCAACACUUCCUCCAAGAAGUCCUCUCAGUGCUGGUGUAAGUGCCUUUCCAUGGCUCCCGUAAUAUUCCUAUGAGUGUCACCAUAUAAUUUAUUGUAUAAACUGGGACACAUUUGAGGUUGAAAUUAUUAAUACUAAUUUUAAAAUUAUGCUAAAAUAAUAGACGUAAACUUGAAUUGUCUCAGGCAAUAGGACAGGAAUAAAUUAGAAAUAUCUCAGGCA
rnacentral:lncRNA from 1 species